GAUGAAGAACGUAGCGAAAUGCGAUAGGUAGUGUGAAUUGCAGAUGUAACGUGAAUCAUCGAAUCUUUGAACGCAAAUUGCACUCUCUGGUAUUCCGGGGAGUAUGCCUGUUUGAGGGUCGCCAAAUCAACAUCGAAAUUCAUUUGCUUUUUUGCAAAUGUCUCUCGGAUUUGAGCCGUCUUUUAUUUUUUUUAAAGUGGCUUAAAAUGCAUUUUUCGGUAUCGAAAAACGUUAUUUUACGAUCAAAUGGAGCAAAAAACAAACGUUUCGAAUGCCAUCUUUUAAUGUAAUACGUUUGACUGUGUUACAAUCAUGGUUUCAUUCGUAUACGAUUUUUUAAUUUUUGACCUCAAAUCAGGUAAGAACACCCGCUGAACUUAAGCAUAUCAAUAAGCGGAGGA
rnacentral:misc_RNA from 1 species